AUUCUUUUAUGGUUCAGAGCAUGAUAAUUGGGUUUUCACGCUACGUGUGAGAUGUACCUCCCUCAAACCUUAAGACGUCAGCACAUUACCAAUCCGACA
ensembl:snoRNA